rnacentral:rRNA from 1 species
AGUGAACGCUGGCGGUAGGCCUAACACAUGCAAGUCGAACGGCAGCACAGUAAGAGCUUGCUCUUACGGGUGGCGAGUGGCGGACGGGUGAGGAAUACAUCGGAAUCUACUUUUUCGUGGGGGAUAACGUAGGGAAACUUACGCUAAUACCGCAUACGACCUACGGGUGAAAGCAGGGGAUCUUCGGACCUUGCGCGAUUGAAUGAGCCGAUGUCGGAUUAGCUAGUUGGCGGGGUAAAGGCCCACCAAGGCGACGAUCCGUAGCUGGUCUGAGAGGAUGAUCAGCCACACUGGAACUGAGACACGGUCCAGACUCCUACGGGAGGCAGCAGUGGGGAAUAUUGCACAAUGGGCGCAAGCCUGAUCCAGCCAUACCGCGUGGGUGAGGAAGGCCUUCGGGUUGUAAAGCCCUUUUGUUGGGAAAGAAAAGCAGCAGGUUAAUACCCCGCUGUUCUGACGGUACCCAAAGAAUAAGCACCGGCUAACUUCGUG